UCAUUUCAUUUCCGCCCCUCAGCUGUUCUUACUCCUCUCUUAAAAAAGCUCUCGCAACUGUCUCUGAGUCUAUCGCCUAGACUACCAUCGCUGCUCAGCUCUGUUCAUUGCUCAGUCUUCUCCCUUUGCCCCUCAGCUGUUCUCAGUCCAACGCUUCGAAUCCUCCAUUCGACGAUGGUUUCCUGAAUCCGUUUGCUGACGAGCCGAUCUUUGUUUCGUCGCCAAUCUACGCUUCUGAAGGCUCCUCCGAUCCGAAAGAUGAGAAGCCGUUCGUAGAUGCUUUUGCGACGUCUAAUGCACCAGUUCUGCCGCCGCCAUCGAAAAUGCAAGAGGAGGGAUUUGCUCUCAGGGAAUGUAGAAGGGAAAUGCUAGAAAGAUGUUUGAAAAACGUUGUGAUGGGAACAGCCGGCUUGGGAAAAUUUCAAAACUAGGCUUUGCUCCUAUACUAUGGUGUAUAAUUUUUCUACUACUUGUAACAUAUAUCCAUUCAGUCAUCAUGGCUCCUACUCUACCAAAAUUAACUGCUGGCGGUGCUUUAUUUGCAUGGUUGGGUGUUUUCGUUGCAACUUCUGGACUAGUUAUGUUUUAUAGGUGUAGCAGAUUUUCUGUCAUUUUACAGUGCCAGGUCUUGUGAAAUACAACUAAUUACACAUUUGGUGUGCAUAUUUGCUUCAUGCUAAUUUAUUCAUUUUUUACUUAUGGUUUCACCAUUUAUAAUCAGAAACAUCUGUCUACUUCAUUUUUAGUCUUGCUCUCUGUGGCUCAUUUUGCAUCAUUAUACCCUAGAUAAAAUAGGAAC